GUCGGCUAUAUCACGUUGAAACACCGGUUACCGUACGAUCACCGAAGAUAAGCAAGGUCGAGCCUGGUUAAUACCUAGAUGGAUGACACCUAGGAAUAUCAAGUGUUGUAAGC